rnacentral:rRNA from 1 species
UACGAAGGGGGCUAGCGUUGUUCGGAAUUACUGGGCGUAAAGCGCGCGCAGGCGGUUUUUCAAGUCAGUGGUGAAAGCCCGGAGCUCAACUCCGGAACUGCCAUUGAAACUGUUAAACUUGAGGAUGAGAGAGGUGAGUGGAAUUCCCAGUGUAGAGGUGAAAUUCGUAGAUAUUGGGAAGAACACCGGUGGCGAAGGCGGCUCACUGGCUCAUUUCUGACGCUCAGGCGCGACAGCGUGGGGAUCAAACAGG